rnacentral:lncRNA from 1 species
AGACAUCUCGGCUAUCCUGCUGCUUCCACAAACUUCCUCCAUACCCUGAUGUCUCUCGGCCUUCUAGGUUCUGUCGGCUUGGCUCAUGAGCAGAGCACUUGUCCCUGCCUGUGGCCUCGGAGUAUGUCCUGGCUCCUACCCUGUUCCCUGCUCCCCAUCUGGGAAACGGUCAGUUGGGGUGAGGAGCUGUUACAGCUUUCUGCAGUGUCUCUUCAUCCUGAGAGAGGUGAGGUAUGUCUGUAAUCCGAGUGCUCCUGGGAGCACGGGAGGUGGGACGAGACAACCUCUGGAGGCUGGAGGCCAGCUAGCUGGUGUGUUCAGUAAAGGAAUCCCAUCUCAAAACAAGUUAGAAGAUGAACGUGCACAGACAAAAAGAGGAGAGGGAAAGAAAGGAGGAAAGGGAGACCAGCUGCUUAAUAAAUGUGUAUGGACCCAAGCACGAGAGCAUGAGAAGAGAAUGAAAGGAGGCGACCUUCUCAGAGACAACGUUGCUGAAGGACUUGGGCCUCCUUUCUCUACACAAUGUGGCCUGUACUCGCCAAUCCUCACUGCUGGGACCUGCCAGAAUGGCAGGCAAGCACGCCCUUCCCAACCUGUGUGGGCAGCAAGAAGCAAACAGAAGAGAGAAGAGGAAGCGAGGGUCAGCACAGAUGACAGACUCGGAUCAACACCUGUGCUCUCAAGAGAGCUUGUGAGACUUCAGGUUCAAUAACUGGGCCUCUGCCAAGGGCCGGGCCCGGCCUGUCCAUCAGCAGGGUUAGUCCCUGAGCAUGAGGCACGCUUCUGAGCUUUCUUUCCCUUGGUCCUUCACACCAGAGCCAUCUCUGUCCUCAGCUCUAAAUACUGCCCACUGUUGUACAGCCAUAACCCUCUACCAGGGAGCUUCCUGUGUGAGACUGUGUCAUAACCCACAGUAUUAGAUGUGCCAUGCCCAUGAGUCCAUUCAUAUUUUUCUCCAUCUGUAGCUGUAUGUCAUUAAAAGACCUUACGCGU